UAAAUCUAUAAGCGAUAAAGAAAUCCCAAUACCAGAGAGAGGGACUACGAAUCAAGAGUGCUAAAAAAAAAUGGCUAAAUAAUAGUUGGAUCAGAGAUGCAGUUUCUUAUCGCGGUAACGUGGUAAAAGAACAAGUAUACAAAGGACAACACUUACAAAGUGAAGACCUUGCUCAAAAGAGGUGGAAAAAAAAAUAGAAAGGUUAUAAUUUCCUUCAUUUAUGGUUUCGGCUUUCGUUGUCGCCUGAUUUUUUUACACAUGAUGAAGGACGAAUUUCAAAGUGCAUGCAAAGGCGGUAGGCACUGAUACAGGCCUUUGUUCUCUAAGUGAAGCUUCAAAGACAGUAUUUCUGCAUGCAAAAAAAUAAUGUUACCAAAAGUGUGAAACCAUCGGUUUUUAUAUAAGUAUACCUAAGAUUCUAUUAUGGUGCUAUGAACGAGUGCAAUUUAUCGCUUCGAAUAAAAUGAUAGGAUAUUUUUCACUAAUUCCACAGAUCGAUUCUCUAGACCGUCCACUGAGUGGACAGAAUUUUGUGUAACUGUAUUUCAAUAGAUAACAUGCGGUCUAUGAAGUUGUAUGCAAUCAGUUCGUGUUCGACGGACGUCCUCCGCCUUGGGUUGAUACAUCUCUUAUUGUUCUCAUAAAAACGCAAUGGGUAACGUAUUAACCCGCCAAGCAUAGGAAUGUGUGCUGGUCUAAGUUCGAAUCCGGGCGUAAACACAUUCUUAGCGACUUAAUUACCGCACGUAAAACUCAAAGAAGCUUUUUUUGGUAUUACCUCCGCCAUCGAUCGGGGCAAAAAAUGAAUCGUGUGUUUACAAAAUUCUCCACCCUAUCGUUCGGAAACCGACAGUAUGGUACCUUCUAGAUGGUACUGUGUUAUGAAGAAGUCGAUUUUGAAGUUCCAAGAAUGUUGAUGGUAGUCGAAUAAUGCGUGACAGGGUGAAUCCAGUGCGUGUGUCGUACGCUUCCACUGCUACACCUAUGUAAUUGAUACAGUUAGUUUCUUCAAGCUGUACACAACAGACACCUCCUGUGAUAUGCUUGACAGGUCUCAGAAAGUAGCAUGUCCAGGAAACACAAAUUACGUCCGUUUCUGUCUCUUUCUUCCUUUUCAUUGAAUUUUCGUUGUUUGUGACAAUGCGAGCGAAAAAGUAUGGAAAGUCUGUCUGGCCACUUAAAGUUCCAUACUUCUCUUCCAUAAAGUGCCACUGGUUUCUUUUAGUGAAACCUGCUACAUUUCACUUCAAGUAUUCGAUCUACCCGUCGUUACCUGGUAAGAUCUGUUCUCACCGAACAACAUCUUUCAGAUCCAGAUUCUCUGUAGAAGAUUCGCUGAACGACCUGUUAUCGACAGCCCAAAAGCGGCACGAACUUCGGCGAACUUAAGUUCGAACUUAAGAAAAAAGAAAAUCGGGCAAUUGAGCCCAUGAGAAGAUCGAACUUAAUGAUUCCGUUUGAAUGCCCCGUGUGUUUUUCUACCAGCAAAUUGAUUCGUUUCUGGUUCAGGCCAAUCACCAGGGAAACAUGAAUCACAAUGAGCAAUAGUCCUUUUUUUUGCGCAGCUCUAACAUCGGUGAAAAGUUGUCAAUAACGACAGAAUUUAAAGAAGCAAAAAACCUGUUGUUGUGUCUUCACAUAAGCACAUUUAUCGAUACUCAAGGUAGAUUGGAAGACCCUUUAUCGCAACGAGCAUGAGUUUAUCCGUUAAUCUUCGUAAUAGAAGAAGUCGAGUUCUUUCUAGCUUUGAGACACGUGGUAGAUUAGGCGCGAAACCUGGCACGGAGACACUUCGUUUGGUGCUGGGAACCAGUCGUCUGAACGGUAGUAAAGACCGUCAAACUCAAAGGACUUAUAUCGGGAAAAAGACGAACUGAUAAUGGCGAAGGCCGAACGUCCAUGUUCGAAUUAUGAACUGAGACUAGCUACUGUCCAACACCUUGACGAAGGACGAGCCCCCGUUAGCAUAACGUAACUAAUAGUCCUAGGUCGACAAUCUACGUUGUAGCCAGCCUCCGAAAGAUCCGAUCAACAUUUUUAUGGGCAAAAGCAGACAAACGACGAUAUUAAUUUGAUCGAUAAGAUGCAAGACUCAUCAAAGUGACGUAAAAACUCUAACUUUCAUUCUUGUAGACAUUAAACUGAGUUUUUAUUUUUGAAAGGAGAACACCAUUGCCAAUUGAGUCGUCAACCUAAGCCCAAUGAAAUUAUACUUAAAAAAAAAAUGGAGCACUCACAAAGACCGCGAACAGCAAAAAGCGUGACGUCUGUAACAUCGGGAUCUAACAUUAUUUGAUAAGCAAGCAUUGAGGACACUCGGCAAAAUGACGAGGAAUGAAAAAGAAACAUUCUCUAGACGACCUUUUUUUUGUGCUCUGCUCGAUGUAUACUUCAUGCAUUUGGAAAAGACAUUCGGGUUUUCCAUUCCGCGUAACUGAAACUUCAACGAAGAAUGACGAUGCUCCUCAUUAGUACUACUAUUAGAACAACUGAUUAUUGCAACGUCCCGUUUCCGCGUACAUGCAUACCUUUCAGCCUUCUGCCUAUAGGAACAUUUGACGAUACCGACUGUAGUGAUCAGGACAAGAGCCAGUAGGCCUGCCACUAUGCCGAAGCGCGUG